rnacentral:rRNA from 1 species
AUGAAGGCAUGUUUGGGAAGGUGGCUGCCACAAAAGCCAUUCCCAAUGAAAAUUACAAUGCUGUUUUCUAUAAAUGUAGGGGAGUGGUGGGCAACUUAUGGACUACAAACUCCUAUAUUGAUGCACAUGGCUUUGAGGAUACUCAACUUGACCACAAGUUCAUCCGGAUGUGAAAAAAAUUGGAGCAUUUUUGAACAAGUAGAUGCAAAGAGGAGAAAUAAACUAGAUGUGCGUCGUAGGGACGAUCUAGUUUAUAUUCAAUUCAAUGGAAGAAUGCUAGACAAGAGAAAGAAGUACUCAUCAUCUUGUGAUGUCCUCCUUGGUGAAGAUGCUUCCACAACCCAAGAUUGGAUAUGUGAAGAUGCUUACAUUGAUGAUGAGAUGGGGGCAACCGAAGAUGACAAUGCAAUGGAGCCUCAUAGAAGUCUUAGGGUGAGAGAACUACAUGAAGUGGAAGAGUUCGUUUGCGAUGAUGAAUCUGACAUUGUGCCUAUCAAUGAGGAUGAGGUAGUGUUCGAGUCUGAUGAUGAUGGGGUUGGGAUAGAAGAAUCCAAUGAAAAUGGUGAGGAAGACCAGAUGCAACCUUGA